rnacentral:rRNA from 1 species
UACGUAGGGUGCGAGCGUUAAUCGGAAUUACUGGGCGUAAAGCGUGCGCAGGCGGUUUUGUAAGACAGAGGUGAAAUCCCCGGGCUCAACCUGGGAACUGCCUUUGUGACUGCAAGGCUUGAGUGCGGCAGAGGGGAUGGAAUUCCGCGUGUAGCAGUGAAAUGCGUAGAUAUGCGGAGGAACACCGAUGGCGAAGGCAAUCCCCUGGGCCUGCACUGACGCUCAUGCACGAAAGCGUGGGAGCAAACAGG